rnacentral:rRNA from 1 species
GGCACGGACUCCGCAAGCGUCCCGCACCCUCUGAGAAAGAAACUCCUCAACCAUCACAAGAUAAAGAAGUAUGACGCUCUGUGUCUAACUCUAUUGGUCAUAGUUCCUUGCUAUUGCGCCCGAUGCUCAUUUGCGCGCAUGUGA